AGCUCCAGUAGCGUAUAUUAAAGUUGUUGCAGUUAAAAAGCUCGUAGUUGGAUUUCUGGCGUGACGUGUCUGACCCGCCACAAUUAUGUGUGUGAGUGUCGGUUCGCGUCUGCCAUCCUUCUGGAGAACGUGUCUACCAUUAAUAGUGGCCGGAUGCGCGAUCCAGAUCUUUUACUUUGAAGAAAUUAGAGUGUUCAAAGCAGGCUCGCGCUGUGAAUACAUUAGCAUGGAAUAAUAAUUUAGGACUACGGUUCUAUUUUGUUGGUUUCUAGAACUGAAGUAAUGAUUGAUAGGGAUAGUUGGGGGGUGCUAGUAUUCAGCGGCCAGAGGUGAAAUUCUCGGAUUCGCUGAAGACUAACUUAUGCGAAAGCAUUCACCAAGGAUGUCUUCUUUAAUC
rnacentral:rRNA from 1 species